rnacentral:misc_RNA from 1 species
AACUAUCAAACCGCAAUUUUUAUUCAUAAUAAUAAUUAUGAGUUUGGAUGUUGGAUGUUUGCUGGACUACAACAGAUGGCCCAGCUCAUCUGAAAUUUAUUAGCUGAUCCAAGUAUUAUGGAUUAUCCACUUGGCGUGAUAAGUUAUCACCCGCUGAGGACUUGUCCAGAAAUAAUAAUGGAUUGCUUCUAAUUGUAGAUAUUAUGGUAUCUUACUGAAUC